rnacentral:rRNA from 1 species
AUACGUAGGUGACAAGCGUUAUCCGGAUUUACUGGGUGUAAAGGGCGUGUAGGCGGUUUAGCAAGUCAGAAGUGAAAUUCCCGGGCUUAACUUGGGCGCUGCUUCUGAAACUGCUUUACUUGAGUGCUGGAGAGGAUAGUGGAAUUCCUAGUGUAGCGGUAAAUGCGCUGAUAUUAGGAGGAACACCGGUGGCGAAGGCGGCUAUCUGGACAGUAACUGACGCUGAGGCGCGAAAGCACGGGGAGCAAACAGGAUUAGAUACCCUGGUAGUCCGUGCCGUAAACGAUGAAUACUAGGUGUAGGGGGUAUCGACUCCCUCUGUGCCGCAGUUAACACAUUAAGUAUUCCACCUGGGGAGUACGGCCGCAAGGUUGAAACUCAAAUGAAUUGACGGGG